CAGAUUUCAAGACAAGUAAAAACCGCAGAAGACCAGCCAGUAACAGACAAGAAGAUUCUGUGUCACCAUCUUUAGAUAUUAAUUCCAACAAAGCUACAACAGCAGCAGCACCAUCAACUACAUCCAACAGCAGCAAUUAUUCCAGCCAAGGCUCAUCAGCAACCUACAGAAACAGUAACACUGGCAGCCCAGGCAGGGGUGGGCGUGGUGGAAGCAACUAUGGGCAGAGAGGUGGCAGGGGUCGAGGCAGGGGCAGAGGAGGCUAUGAUCGUGAUGGACCCAGGCCUCAAGGCCAGGGCUAUAAUCGGCCCUACUCCGGACCACCAGCUGCAGCAGGGAGGCCAACAGCAGCCCCUUCAAGCACCUAACCUUUCACCUCCAGUUUGUUACUGCUAUGCUCUAAUGUACAAGUUAUUCACCUUCUUUAGAUCCACAUUUAUUGUAAGACUUGUUAGAAAGUUUUCUAUCACUAGAAUGAAGCUAUGCUAUCUUGGAACUGUUGAGACACAUGUAAACUUUUAGUACAAUGGCCUUUUCUUUCUUUGUCAAUUUUUAGCUAAUAUAUAUAUUAUCUAACAGUAAACAAGUUUUUUUUGUCUUCUUCUACAUUUUGUGCCAGUCAAAUGUAUGGCUAAGCCAAAACAGUUUAACCCUCAAUCUGUCAGAUCAAACUUUCAAUGGUGUGAGCUAUAUUUUUUUGAAUUUAUAAGGAUUUUAGAAAAACUAUAUACACGAGAUAACAUAAUGCCAUAUAAUUUUUUAAAAAGUCUGUUUCAGGCAAGGGGCAUCAGAAUCCCUUUGACCACUGACAAGGAUUUCUUUCAGUAGACAAAAUAUUUGUAAAAGUAAUUUAGAAUGGCAAAUUAAAUAAAAGAUUUUUUAAAAUAUAUCUGUAAGAAAACAAGAUGAAAACUGGCAGAUGUAAUGAGCUGUUGCUGUUAUAAAAAGGAUCAGGUGGAAAGUCUAAUUGAAGGUUGAGGGUUAAAAAGUUUUAUUUAAUUCUAUCUGAAACAAAUCAUGUAUUGUUAGAUCAUCAGUAUUUUUAUCUAUCUAUUAAAAGAAUAUCAAAUGUUCUUCUAAGAAAUGUCAA
rnacentral:sRNA from 1 species